rnacentral:ncRNA from 18 species
CCGCGAUCCCGUGGUCAUUUGAGCCGGCCGGCUUGCAGCCACGUUAAACAAUUCGCUAAACAGGCCGGGGAUAGUUUCGA